GGUAUGCUGAGCAAGAAACUCAGUAGAGGAAUAUGUAGUGGUAUCAGUAGUGGAAGACAAAGAAGUUGCAGUGGUAGAAGUUUCAGAGAGAGGAUUUGCAGUGGAAGAUGUGGAGAGAGUUUCAGAAAAUGAAUUUUCUUUGAAUGGGGGGAUCAGUGAUCUAAUUGUGGGUGUUCGUUCUGCAGAAACUACAGCACUAGAUUUGAGGGAAGAGAUAGCAGUCUUUUCAUGGGGAGGAGGAGAAUGAGAGGACGGAAACCAUAUGGGAUGCGGCGGCAAUUCUAUAAUAUACAUUUUUAAUUCUUCAGCAGACAAGGAACAAUACUUCAGUGAUGAACAACAGCACUGUUGAAUUUUGCCUGUUUCUUCUUUCUCUUCUAAAGUGCUUAUGUUCUCUUUCUUAUCCAGCUUUAUUAUGAACUUGCAAUGUGUACUCUGGUUUUCUGAACUGCAUUCCAUAACAGAUGACUCACUCAUUUCUUGCAAGGUUUUGUUGAGCUCUGAUAUUCUCAGUUCUUGUAGGGUUGAGGCUGUAAUUGGAAUAAAGCUUGAAACUUGAUUGUCAAUAGUUUUGUUAUUAAUUACUUCUAUAUUUAGUGAUGUGUUAUUUUCUUUUCUUGAAUGAAAUUCUACCUCGCCCACAUAGAACACUGAGUAAUUACAAACAGAUGAUACGUUGCAUAAAAUGGUUUCUCCAGCUGGUGUUAUAGUGGAGUAAUAGUCAGUGAUGUCAGGAGUUUCAGAAAUGGUUGUUGCAGUUGAUGCUUCUGCAGGUCUGGUGGUUUCUUCCGUAACACAUGGCAAAGAGCUGUCCUCUUCUAUUGUCUUAUUGAACAUCCAAUCCUCCUUUCUCCAGC
rnacentral:lncRNA from 1 species